rnacentral:misc_RNA from 1 species
CCACCCUCACGCGCCCCCCCCGGCGCGUGGUGUUGGGGCAUUCUGCGGCGGCCGCUAGGCCCCGCAGGCCCUGAAAGCUAGUGGCGGGCCAGCAGUGGGCUCCGAGCGCAGUAAGCAGCAACGCCCUCGCUCCGGACGCCCCCGCUGGCGCCCUGCCCGCAGCGCGAGCUGCGACCCCCCCCUUUUGCAAGGUU